AUGGACUCCUCCUCCAUCUCCGGGGCCGCCGUCGCGGGGCCGACGCCAAGCCGCCGCGCCAACUACGGCCCGGUCCUCGAGGACGAGCCGCCGCGCCUCCGCUUCACCGUCGGGCAGUACCCGUCCAGGUUCCCGCUGGCGGACGCCCCCGGCUUCCUCUCCUCCAUCGGCGCCGCCCUCGCCCGCCACGCCGACGCCGACGCCCAGGUCGAGUCGCUCGAGAUCUCCCUCGUCUUCCGCGCCCCGCACCAGCACUACAUCGCCAGCCUCGGCACGUACGCCACGGAUCACCCCCACGCCGCGCUCGUCACGGCCGACCACGUCCGCGCGUGGCUGCGCUUCGGCAUGGCCCGCGCCGCGGGCUCCUUCGUGCUCGAGCUGCCACCACGCGCGCCGCCGACGACCGAAGAGUGCGCGUCGGGUGCGGCGGCGGAGGCAGAGAAGAGCGGCAUGGCUCUGGAGCUGCCUCGCUCGGCCGCGGCGGCGACCCUGGCGCUGACCCUGGGCGACGCCACCCUCGCGCUCCCCGUGCCCGCGGAGGCCUCGUUCGACGCGCUCGGGGAACUGCUGCUCGGCAACGCCCGGAUCAGCGACCAGCACCGCCUCAGCGAGCUCCUCUCGUCCCCGUCCUUCCCUCGCCUGAAGAGGCUUCGGCUCGAGCACCUGGCGGGCGUGGGGGAGCUGGACCUCUGCGUCGGUGACCUCGAGGAGCUGGCGAUCGUGGGCGUGCGCGACCUGUGA
rnacentral:rRNA from 1 species